rnacentral:pre_miRNA from 1 species
AUAAUACUCCCUCCGUCCGGAAAUACUUGUCCUAGAGAUGAAUGUAUCUAGACUUAUUUUAGUUAUAAAUACAUUCAUUAUAUUAAUUUUUAGGACAAAUAUUUCUGGACGUAGGGAGUAUAAA